UGAUCAGAAUUUGCUAACUGUAUUUGUAUAAAAUGUUGUUCUCUAAUUGUGUCUAAGUUGUGUAUGACAUACUGUAUUUCGGAGCAAAAGCCUCCGUCAGGCUAUGUAGCCUUUUGCUUUUGCUUCGUUUUUUCUGUUGUAC
rnacentral:lncRNA from 1 species